rnacentral:rRNA from 1 species
UACGUAGGGUGCGAGCGUUGUCCGGAAUUAUUGGGCGUAAAGAGCUUGUAGGCGGUUUGUCGCGUCUGCUGUGAAAAUCCGGGGCUCAACCCCGGACUUGCAGUGGGUACGGGCAGACUAGAGUGUGGUAGGGGAGACUGGAAUUCCUGGUGUAGCGGUGAAAUGCGCAGAUAUCAGGAGGAACACCGAUGGCGAAGGCAGGUCUCUGGGCCGAUACUGACGCUGAGGAGCGAAAGCGUGGGAGCGAACAGG